UACGAAGGGGGCUAGCGUUGCUCGGAAUUACUGGGCGUAAAGAGCGUGUAGGCGGUCUGGUAGGUCCGCUGUGAAAACUCGAGGCUCAACCUCGAGACGCCGAUGGAAACCAUCAGACUAGAGUCCGGAAGAGGAGAGUGGAAUUCCUGGUGUAGCGGUGAAAUGCGCAGAUAUCAGGAAGAACACCCGUGGCUAAGGCGGCUCUCUAGUACGGUACUGACGCUGAGACGCGAAAGCGUGGGGAGCGAACAGG
rnacentral:rRNA from 1 species